AAAUAAAUGUCAGGCCGAGCUACCUGGGGACUCUCCUUGCAAGUCAGUCUAGGCAGAUGUUGAGGAGGAAUCUGUGAUGAAUUCACUCUUCAUCUGAGUGAGCUUUCCAGGAAUAAUAAUUG